rnacentral:lncRNA from 12 species
AUGGCUGACAAAGCCUCACAUAUUUACCUCUUGGCCCUUUACAGAACGUUUGUGGAUGUCUGGCCUAGGAUCCUGAGAUUCACGGAGAAUUCUUUGGGCCUGUGUCCUCAUUGUCCACCCUUGGCAGUCUCAGUGUCAUACCUGAGCAGGGGCUGUGUACCAAAAGCACUGGCUGUGGUACAGCUUGUUGCCACGU